rnacentral:lncRNA from 1 species
CACCAAAAUAUUCUAAGAUUAUAAAUUAAAACUACUUUAUUUUGUUUGAACUUUCAUUUGCAUAUGUGUAAUGAUGAUAUUGUAAUCAUAGUGAUAAUGAUGAUAUUGAUUUUGGUGAUGGAGAUAAAGGAUAAAAAAAUAAUGAUCAACAAUGGCAAAGGGCACAACUCAUGCGUUGCAAACCUAUCAACACCUGUGGCUAUCAACACUCAAAGGUUUUUUCUGAAUGAGGAACCCUGAUGUCAUAAAUUGUAUCAUCAAAUCCUACAAAAUUCAAAGAAUCUGUUUCGUUGUAUACCUUUGCUGCCUUUGACUCACAUGUCUAAAAGAGAUGGACAUAUAAUAAAAAGAAUCUUUAGGUAUAUCUUUAUGAGACAUAGUGUUAUCUUAAGGUCCAUAUAGAGUUAUAUUUCGAUGGACCAAUAAUGUCUACAAGAUAUACUUCUCCUAUGCGUAAUUUGUGCUAGUGUUUUGGCAUUAUUGAUGAUAGAUGUUUCAUAGAUUUUAUAUCUUGGCUAUUACUAUAUACAGAAACAUAUUGACAUUUAAGAUACUUUUAUUACUUAAAGAAACCCAAAAAUUUACAGAUAGAUAUAUAGAUAUAUUAUACAAAAUGCAUAUGCACAUGGCUGGGUAACAUGGAGAUGUGAAGCAUAGAGAUUUUUAUGGAUGUACUCCUCCAUUAUUUGGGUUAUAUCGUAAAAUACAUAUUUUUAGACAAAAGCAUGAAUACACAAUUUCCCACUUCCGAUUAUUUUAAAGAUAAUCAAAUCUGAGAAUCGCCUUCUAAGUUGUAGACAGGUAUUCCUUAACCUAUUAAAACUUAUAUUGUGUAAAAAAAAUUAUUGAACCUAAAAGACUCCUAAACAGUGAUAGCGGAACUGUCCCGAACUCUCUAGUUCGGGGUGUACCAACCCAAACCGGUUGGUUAUUGGGACAAAAUGACCCUUUGGUUCGGCUUGGAGCUUUUUAUGAUUUGGUUUGGUUGAUCUCUAUUUCACGUCCUCUCUCAAAGCUUUCCGCUCAUCUCGACUCUCCGCCGUCUCUCAAAGAUUUUGGCUCAUCUCCCACCACUUUCCUCUCUCACCCCGCUGUCCUCGCCUCCUCUAGUUUUUCGACUACCGCCACUCUCAUGGUGAUUGCCGCUAUGGAAUCCGCUGCUACUACCUCAGCACUAGGCCAUGUCGAGGGUGAUGCUCCUCUAUAUCCAGUUUUUGCCUAUUCAUCCCCUCGAUGGCAUCCCUCAUUGAGUGCUCAUUCAUGAAGAUCACGAACUCAAAGCCCCUCAACCUCCACAUCUCCCAAUUGAUGAUGAUUUAUACUGAAACACAACCAAACCAUUAGAUCUGAGAUCAAGAAACACAACAAGAUUGCAAUCAAGGAUCUUUCUAGGUUGAAUUGAGUGAUCAGGACCUUGGAUUUGAGGAUCUAACAGCCCUCUCAAGAAAGGCACUAUCUGUGGCCCAGAUGAGCUGAUCUCUCUCUCUCACUCUCUCCCCUCUUCUCUCUCUAUCUCUGCCCCCUCCCCCUCGGUUCCAGUAAGCAUCCCUUACCGAUUGCUCCUUCCUGAAGGUCAUGAAUCUAAAGCCCCUUGACCUCCUCAUCUCCUGAUUAAUGAUUAUUUGCACCAAAAAACAACCAAGCCUUUAGAUCUGAGAUCAAGAAACAUAAAAAGCUUGGAUUCGAGGAUCUUUCUAGGUGGGAUUGAGGGUUUGGGACCUUGAAUUUGAGGAUCUCACUGCCCUCUUGAGGGAGGCAUUGUUCAUGGCCUAGGCGAGCUGAUCGCUCCCCCCCCUUCUCCCUCUCCAUCCCCUGGUUUUGAUACACAUAUGGUACGUACCGAUACCAUAACGAAUCGGUUGCUGGCUAACAUGAUCCCUGGUAUCAGUUUGUUGAAACCUUGCUCCUAAAACUAAUUCUAUGUUAAAAAAACUAAAAUGAGCUAAAAGACUCAGUUUUGACACAGAAAGCCCAAGCCUGACACUUACUUGUCAUGUGAUUGAUUGGCACAUGAGGUUCCCAUCUCAAGCAAACUUCUGCUUCAUUUCCUAAGGUUUAACAGUCAUGCUUGUUUGUUUUAUUUUACUGGGAAAUUUCAAUGCAUUAACAUAAAACUAUCAGUUUGAUAAUCAUGGUAAUCUUUUGCAUUCUUUAUCAUGGAACCUCCAUUUUGAAACCAUUUGCUGGCUGUUUCCAUUGACGUGUGUUCUUCUCGUGUUCCUUUAAUUGCAGAGAGUGGCUGUUAACAAUCCAGUUAUGCUUCUUGAUGAAAUUGACAAGACAGGUUCUGAUGUUCGUGGAGAUCCAGCAUCAGCAUUAUUGGAAGUUCUUGAUCCAGAACAGAACAAAACAUUCAAUGACCAGUAUCCUUUCUAUUUUGGGCUUUUAGGAGUUGUUCAUACGAUCAUCGUUAUGCUUAUACGACUAAAACAUGCUUGUUAAUUCUCAUGGUCAAUGAUUCUGCCCAAACACAUUUUUUUGUUAUGCGAGAUUUUAUAGUCCUUGUUGUGCACGGUAAUUGCAGUCAAAACUUUUUUCUGGAACCAAACUAUUCAAAGCCCCACAUGCAGAAAAUUGCCCUCAGAGUACCAAGUGAGAACUAUAGGGUGCAUUAAACAUGCAUAAAUGCUAGAACAAUUUGUUGUUUGGUUGUUUGUGUUUAGUUUCAUGUCCCGAACUAGUUAGUCUCUGUUUUUAUUUUUUUAAUUUUUUUUUCAAGUUUCAUGUGGGUACUGCAACUCUUUAUAGUUUGCAGCUCAGUGGUUGUCGGAAUACAUUAUAUCUGUCACUUGCUUUCAUAUUGAUGAUGGAUUUUCCAUAAAAUGCUGUAUUGUUGUUUUAGGAAAUUGUCAAUAACUGUCUAAGGUUGAUGUUUACGAGAAGCAACAAUUUUUUUGGAAGAAAUUGGAUUUUUAUUUGAAGUCAGCAUAAUGAUUAGAAUCUCAUCUGAUUAUGCCAGUGUUCCUUAAAUUAUGAUCAUCAGCUAUUUGAAUGUUCCAUUCGACCUAUCAAACGUAAUUUUUGUUGCAACUGCAAAUAGGAUUCAACCUAUUCCCCCACCACUGUUGGAUCGAAUGGAAGUCAUUGAGCUUCCUGGCUAUACACCUGAAGAAAAGUUAAAAAUAGCAAUGAACCAUCUUAUGCCACGAGUUCUAGAUCAGCAUGGAUUGAGCUCCGAAUUCCUUCAAAUCCCUGAGGUAUUGAUCUUGUUACUAAAUAACCUUUGUUAUUUGACAGCCUGCACAUGCAGAGCCUUUUCAUUAUUAAGCUAAAACUUGAUGAAUGCUUUUCGAAUUCUUUUGUUCUUUUCUGAUAUAAUAAAAUUUCUUAUAACAUGCUGUUAACAAGGUUUAUAAGCAGAACUCCUGCCUAAUCAUUUUCAUAUUCUUCAUAGAACUUAAAUUAGCAAUACUUAAUUAAGUUAGAAGACUAAAAUGAUUGAGGAAAGAAGAUAAAGAAGAUUAUGUGUUUAUCUUUUCCCUGUUCCAAAUGUGAUAAAAGUUCAUAGCUUGAGGUAGGUAUUAAUCUUCCAGUCUAUGUGUACUCUGACACCUAUUCUUGCUGCCUGUUGCUUGCAAAUACCUUCAAGCUUACUCCUUCAGCUAAGACUUUUCAAGGGAAGUUAGAUAUAAAUUCUUGUAUGUGUUUUGGAAUGUGGAAGAUAGCUGAAAGAGAAAGGUUGGUAAGUGUGGAUGACAGUUUUAGUCAGCUGUAGUCUUUCUAGAAUACUGAUAUGGGUUUUUUUAACAAUAUCCAGCUCAUUUCUUAACUUUAUAAAUGAGAAAGUAGGAGAUAAUAGGAAAUAUUCAUCUUGUGUAUAUGUAAGUUCAUAACGUUCAUAACUGUAAUUCAUUGGGAUUUAAGGAGGUGAAAUAAAACACUUCCUGCUAUAGAAUAGCCUGCAUUUCUUUAUGUUGUCUGCUAGUUAAAUGCUUGGGCCACAAUUAGCUUCAUGGAUCAAUUUCUCCUUGAUUGUCCAUGAUGUCUGAAAACAAGCAUGUCCUUGGAUUACCAUUAACCAACAACAAAUCCUACCUAUAUCCUGUGUACUGGAGUCGGGCUGUAUGGAUCGAUUUUUUUGUCCGCUAAUUCCUUAAUACUGACACAUCCUCAAUUUAAUUGAUGUCAUAGCACCAAUGCUGGAAUGUUUAAGAUCUUUUCUUUUUUAAUUCCACAUCAUUUUCAUUUUCCUAAGAUAGUCUGCGGUGCUUGAUAGUUCUGCAAUUUUGUUAUCCUUUGUCUAUAUGUGAGCAAUUUAAUUUCUGUGCUGGCGAUUUUAUGACCUUUUCUUUCAUUUGUAGCAUUAUCAUGAUUCAUCUGUCUUAACAAUCUCUGUGAGUAGGCGAUGGUGAAAAUUAUAAUUCAGAGAUAUACUAGAGAAGCUGGUGUGAGGAAUCUUGAAAGAAACUUAGCUGCCUUAGCUCGUGCUGCAGCUGUCAAGGUUGCUGAGCAAGACUGUGCAGUUCAAAUUAGCAGAGAUGUGCACCCAAUGACAAGUUCAAUACUGGACACAAGACUUGCAGAUGGUGCUGAAGUUGAGAUGGAAGUUUUCCUAUGGGUGUUAAUGGGCAGGAGAUAUCAAAUGCUUUUUCAAGUACCUCUGUCCUGCUUGUAGAUGAGGCUAUGCUGGAAAAAGUGCUUGGGGUAGGUAGUUUUGUUUUUGAAGUUUGAGGCUACUUCUUAGAAAUUUUAUCUUUCUGCCUCUGAAUUUAUUCAAUUUUGUCAAAACAAAUAUUCAUUUACACAUCAUUAAUCUGGGAAUUGCAGCCUCCUAGGUUUGAUGACAGAGAAACUGCAGAACGUGUAGCAACUCCGGGCAUAUCAGUUGGACUCGUCUGGACAUCCUUUGGUGGAGAGGUUCAAUUUGUUGAAGCCACGGCAAUGGUGGGGAAGGGUGAUUUGCAUCUCACUGGACAACUAGGAGAUGUUAUUAAAGAAUCAGCACAAAUAGCUCUCACAUGGGUACUUUUUGUAACUCAUUCCUUUAGCAGUACAUCUCGUAAUGUAUGCUAAUGCCUUGUCUUGUUCAAUGUGGCAAAUUUGUUUGUCAUGUAUCCAGUUUUCUAUGAUUAGCUUAAAAUCACAAAGACCAAGUUCCCAGGGAUACAUGACAAACAGAUUAAGGUGCUACUUCUUAACAUGUAUGGACAAAAAGGAUGUCAUGAAAACAGCAUCCUCAUUGUGCUGAUCGUAAGUUAUACUAGAUAUACUUAGUAAUUUAUUAUGUGUUUGGUUUUCUCUGCACCAAACACACAAAAUGAUGAUAGUUCUGUAAAUGUCUUUUCCUGUUUCCUAGCUAAGUGUCUUAAACCAGAGUCUUGCAUGCUUACAUAAUUCUACAUAAACAAUUAAUAAAAAAUUAUUUAACUUGAAGUCUACUAUGUUUACUGCAUGAUUGAUGUAAUGUACCUUUUCUCCUGCUAAAACUAAUGGUCAGAUGUGCAAUGAUAAAAUGAAUAAACAAAAAAGGUUUUCCUGAGAAAAGCAUCCCCAUUUUGCUAACUUGAGUUGUAUACGAAUGUCAGCACUUGAUUUAUUAAUACAUUACGUGUUCGGUUCUCUUAUCUGCAUCAUGCACAUGAGAAAAAAAAUCAGAUUUAUAAUCAUACUCUCUUGUUUCCCUUUCUGAAUCUCUUGUAACGGAUUCUUAAAUUUAAAAAAUUCCUAGUUCUCUUAAAUUCUACAUAUUCAAAACACAUUUUUUGUUCAUUCUGCUUAUGUAGUGUAUAAUUGACGCCUCUAGUAUAAGAGCUCUCCUUUUCUUCCACCGAAACUAAUUGUCAAACAUAUGUUACAUUUGGGAAAUAAGUCCUCUCGUCUUAUAUUAGAAUAGGGAAGCUAGGUCUCAAUAAACUAUUGUUCUUUAAUUGUCUAGUUGGCAAGCAUGUGAAUAGAAAGUGACUACAUGGCCACACCAUAUAUCACUGGCAAGUCUUCAUAGAGUUUUACUUUAACACUAGAAAGCUAAUGAAAUCAAAUUUUAAUUAUCAUAUUAGCCUUUCUGUGUAGGCAAUAAAUAUAAACACCAAUUGUAUUUUUCAGUCAGCUCCACGGUAGGGGGAUAUAUAGUGUACAUUUGUUUUCCUGUAACGCAUCCCCCCUGUCCUCUCUCUCUCUAAUAAAGGCCAAUCAAGCAAGAAAAUUUUUGCAUGCUAAGAGUUUUGAUAUCAUCCAGCUACAUUGUUACUGAUCACCUUGUACUUCUGUUGAUCAGUGCACUGGGAAAUAAUUUUACAUGUGUAACAUUCUGGACAUUACUUGUGAAGGAUGGAAGGGGACUGCCUUAACCUUUUCCCUUCUGAUCAAGACUUUAUUUCUUUUAAUUCCUUGUGGAAUGCAUCAAUAUCUUUUGAAAACCCUUUGAUUGGGCUUUAAAAGUUCUGAUGGAUGUGCCAGGUUUUUAUCUUAAGCUUAAUAGCUUCUUGUUCUUGGUUUCCUCAGGUGAGAGCACGAGCAGCAGAUCUGAAGUUGUCAGCUGCUGAUGAGAUCAAUUUACUGGAGAAUCGGGAUAUUCAUAUACACUUUCCUGCUGGUGCAGUGCCGAAGGAUGGACCAUCAGCAGGAGUUACUUUGGUAACAUCACUAGUAUCAUUGUUCAGUCAAAGAAAAGUCAGAGUUGAUACUGCAAUGACUGGAGAGAUGACUCUUAGGGGCCUUGUAUUACCUGUUGGUGGUAUCAAAGACAAGGUAGCUACUAGCUGUUUUAUUUGUCUUUUUUACCCUAUUAGUUCACGAAAUCAAAGUUUACUGUACCGGUCGGUACUAUUCCGUACUGAAUGUACCGUACCAUAAUGGUACCGAACUAGCAUGCUAUCUCGUAUUGUACUAAUACUUGGUACAUUGUGCCGUCUCAUAUUGUACGGCGUGCUGACACUAUAAUAGGAUGGUACUGGAACGAGAUCCAGUACCGAGACGGCGAACCUUGCAUGAAAUCAUGUAGUAAUAUAAAGAAAAUCCAAACAUUUGUUUCUAAUUUACUAUUUAUUCGAUGGCAUUUUGUAUAAAAAAUGAAUCUUCUAAUUGUUACUUAUUUGAACCUUAAGGUCUUGGCGGCACAUCGAUAUGGAAUCAAGAGAGUAAUUUUGCCUGAACGCAAUUUGAAAGACUUAGUUGAGGUACCAUCAGCCAUUCUUGCUGGCAUAGAGGUAAUUAUUUAACCUUGAAGGUUAUCUAUUGCUUGAACUCACCUUUCUAAAUUAAAUAUGUUACUCCUUUUCACAUAUUAUUCACAAAGUGGUGCCAUUGCAUGUGCAAAUAUCUUGAAAUGUUAUAUCCGCAUGAUGGCUAUUAAGGUUAUAGAUGAGCUCAUUAAAAGACUGUUGCUUAAGAGAAGGGGCAGGAGAAGAGGUGGAAAUUCAAAAGAGAACUUGGUGACUUAGGGAGUGAUUGGAGAUGUGUUGGAAAAAGAAUGGAUGAAGACUGAAACACAA